CCCAGACUCCUACGGGAGGCAGCAGUGGGGGAUAUUGCACAAUGGGGGGAACCCUGAUGCAGCGACGCCGCGUGGGUGAAGGAGCGUUUCGGCGCGUAAAGCCCUAUCGGCAGGGAAGAAGGAGGACGGUACCUGAUUAAGAAGCCCCGGCUAACUACGUGCCAGCAGCCGCGGUAAUACGUAGGGGGCAAGCGUUAUCCGGAUUCACUGGGUGUAAAGGGAGCGUAGACGGCGACGCAAGUCUGGAGUGAAAGCCCGGGGCCCAACCCCGGGACUGCUCUGGAAACUGUGCAGCUAGAGUGCAGGAGAGGCAGGCGGAAUUCCUAGUGUAGCGGUGAAAUGCGUAGAUAUUAGGAGGAACACCGGUGGCGAAGGCGGCCUGCUGGACUGUAACUGACGUUGAGGCUCGAAAGCGUGGGGAGCAAACAGGAUUAGAUACCCCGGUACCG
rnacentral:rRNA from 1 species